UAUGUUUACUCCGAUUCUGAGGGUAGCCCUACUUCGCCUCGAUUU
rnacentral:rRNA from 1 species